rnacentral:rRNA from 1 species
CAGUCGCACGGUAAUACGAAGGGGGCUAGCGUUGCUCGGAAUGACUGGGCGUAAAGCGCACGUAGGCGGCUUUGUAAGUUAGAGGUGAAAGCCCGGAGCUCAACUCCAGAAUUGCCUUUAAGACUGCAGAGCUAGCGGGUGAGAGAGGUGAGUGGAAUUCCGAGUGUAGAGGUGAAAUUCGUAGAUAUUCGGAAGAACACCAGUGGCGAAGGCGGCUCACUGGCUCAUACUGGACGCUGAGGUGCGAAAGCGUGGGGAGCAAACAGGAUUAGAUACCCGCGUAGUCCCUGUCUCUUAUACC